UACGAAGGGGGCUAGCGUUGCUCGGAAUCACUGGGCGUAAAGGGUGCGUAGGCGGGUCUUUAAGUCAGGGGUGAAAUCCUGGAGCUCAACUCCAGAACUGCCUUUGAUACUGCGGAUCUUGAGUUCGGGAGAGGUGAGUGGAACUGCGAGUGUAGAGGUGAAAUUCGUAGAUAUUCGCAAGAACACCAGUGGCGAAGGCGGCUCACUGGCCCGAUACUGACGCUGAGGCACGAAAGCGUGGGGAGCAAACAGG
rnacentral:rRNA from 1 species